CAAUAUAACAAAUAAAAUGAAAUGUAGGGGAAGUCCCUAGGGUCACCCUACCCCCAGUGGCGGAUCCAGAAAUUUUCAUAAGUGGGGGCCUGCUGACUGACCUAAGAGGGGGCCCACUCCAGUCACGCUUCAGUGAUUCCCUAUAUACCCGGUAAGCAACCAUUUUUUUCCCAAAGAGGGGGGGGGGCGGGCCCCCUGCCCCCUAAAUCCUCUGCCUACCCC
rnacentral:lncRNA from 1 species